rnacentral:rRNA from 1 species
UACGUAGGGUGCGAGCGUUAAUCGGAAUUACUGGGCGUAAAGCGUGCGCAGGCGGUGAGCUGUGUCCGAUGUGAAAGCCCCGGGCUUAACCUGGGAAUGGCAUUGGAAACUGGCUCGCUGGAGUGUGGCAGAGGGGGGUGGAAUUCCGCGUGUAGCAGUGAAAUGCGUAGAGAUGCGGAGGAACACCGAUGGCGAAGGCAGCCCCCUGGGCUAACACUGACGCUCAGGCACGAAAGCGCGGGGAGCAAGCAGG